AUGGCUCAGGACGAACGCUGGCGGCGUGCCUAAUACAUGCAAGUCGAGCGGACAGAUAAGGAGCUUGCUCCUUGACGUUAGCGGCGGACGGGCGAGUAACACGUGGGCAACCUGCCCCUUAGACUGGGAUAACUCCGGGAAACCGGAGCUAAUACCGGAUAAUCCCUUUCUCCACCUGGAGAGAGGGUGAAAGAUGGCUUCGGCUAUCACUAAGGGAUGGGCCCGCGGCGCAUUAGCUAGUUGGUAAGGUAACGGCUUACCAAGGCAACGAUGCGUAGCCGACCUGAGAGGGUGAUCGGCCACACUGGGACUGAGACACGGCCCAGACUCCUACGGGAGGCAGCAGUAGGGAAUCUUCCGCAAUGGACGAAAGUCUGACGGAGCAACGCCGCGUGAGUGAGGAAGGCCUUCGGGUCGUAAAGCUCUGUUGUGAGGGAAGAAGCGGUACCGUUCGAAUAGGGCGGUACCUUGACGGUGCCUCACCAGAAAGCCACGGCUAACUACGUGCCAGCAGCAGC
rnacentral:rRNA from 1 species